AAUGGCAUGUAUUCAGGGGCAAUGGCAUGGUGUGAAACUCAUGUAAUCUAAAUCUUGGGAUUAGAGGAAAUCACCUAACCCCAGUGCAGGAUGAAGAGACAAGUAUGUAGUCAGUGACUUGUGGCACUUAAUAAACCAAGAGUUUGGAGGAAAAUGACCCAACAAGGAGAGAGAGAGAGAGAGAGAGAGAGAGAGAGAGAGAGAGAGAGAGAGAGAGAGAGAGAGAGAGAGAGAGAGAGAGAGAACAGCCAGAGGUAGAUAAUGUGUAGUGUGUGAUGUCUGGGAAACCAAAAAAAGGGUUUGUCCUGAGGAAAACAUUGUGAUCAACAAUGUUAAGUGCUGCUGAGGUGUCAAGUAAGACAAAGAUGAGGAGGAAUCUGCUGGGCUUUCUGACACAGAACCCAUCAUGGAAGUCCAAGUGGAAGUGAGAAAAAACUAAAACUAUAGGAAAGAGAAACAACUCAUAUGGAGAGGUAGUUUGACUAACUGCCUAAGAGUGGAAAAAGAGAAAUAGUGUCAAAAAUAAAGGUCAAGGAGGAUAGGUGGAGUCAGGUAGUUCUUAGGUCAUUUCACUGUAAAUAAUUAUUUUAUCUAUCUAUCUAUCCAUCCAUCUAUCUUUAAUCUAUUUUAUCCCUUGAGUCAGAUGAUGAAAGAACAAAUAGAAAAGAGAUUGAAAAACUAUAGACACAGGACAUAAUUGAUAGCAUAACAUUCCUGAAAGAAACAAAAGGAUAAUAUACAAUACAGAAAUCAUUUAGCUUUGGAUGGAGGGUAGGUGUAGAUUGGCCUAUCUUUGUACUGGAAGGAGAGGAGUAGAAUGAGGUCAAGUGAGGGGGAAGGCAGCAAGAUCCAAGAUUUCAAGAGAGUGGAAAUUAUGUAAAGAUAGACAGUAAAAAAUUGAAGAACAGACUAGGUAACAUUAAAAUUAUAGGGCAAUUUUAAACCUUCAGUGGAGAUUGGUAACCACUGAAGAAACUUAUCUUCUAUUAUGUUAUAUAUUUUUCUCAGUAGAAUUGAGUAGGUUAAAUAUAGCCAUGAAAUAAAGGAAUGGAUUUUUGGAGGUUUUUUCAGAUGAAUGUGACCAAAGGAUAACAAAGCACAAGAGUUUAAGCUACUGAAAAAAGAGCAGUUUAAAAAUGAUCUGUGUACUUUUAGUUCUUUGAGGAAUCCUCAUACUGUUUUUGACAGAGGUUGUAGUAAUUUGCAGUCCCACCAACAGUGCACAAGUGUUCCUGUCUCUCUGCAUCCACCAGCAUUUAUUGUUUUUGG